AAUUUUGGACAAUGGGGGAAACCCUGAUCCAGCCAUCCCGCGUGUAGGAUGAAGGCCCNCGGGUUNUNAAGUACUUUUGGCAGAGNCAAAAAGGUACCCCCUAAUACGGGCUACUGCUGUCGGUAUCUGCAGCAUAAGCACCGGCUAACUACGUGCCAGCAGCCGCGGUAAUACGUAGGGUGCAAGCGUUAAUCGGAAUUACUGGGCGUAAAGCGUGUGUGGGCGGUUCGGAAAGAAAGAUGUGGAAGCCCAGGGCUCAACCUUGGAACUGCAUUUUUAACUACCGAGCUAGAGUAUGUCAGAGGGGGGUAGAAUUCCACGUGUAGCAGUGAAGUGCGUGGAUAUGUGGAGGAAUACCGAUGGCGAAGGCAGCCCCCUGGGAUAAUACUGACGCUCAGACACGAAAGCGUGGGGAGCAAACAGA
rnacentral:rRNA from 1 species